rnacentral:rRNA from 1 species
GAUGAACGCUGGCGGCGUGCCUAAUACAUGCAAGUCGAGCGAACGGACGAGAAGCUUGCUUCUCUGAUGUUAGCGGCGGACGGGUGUGUAACACGUGGAUAACCUACCUAUAAGACUGGGAUAACUUCGGGAAACCGGAGCUAAUACCGGAUAAUAUUUUGAACCGCAUUGUUCAAAAGUGAAAGACGGUCUUUCUGGCACUUCUAGAUGGAUCCGGGCUGCAUUAGCUAGUUGGUAAGGUAACGGCUUACCAAGGCUACGAUGCAUAGCCGACCUGAGAGGGGGGUCGGCCACACUGGAACUGAGACACGGUCCAGACUCCUACGGGAGGCAGCAGUAGGGAAUCUUCCGCAAUGGGCGAAAGCCUGACGGAGUAACGCCGAGUGAGUGAUGAAGGUCUUCGGAGCGUAAAACUCUGUUAUUAGGGAAGAACAUAUGUGUAAGGAACUGUGCACAUCUUGACGGUACCUAAUCAGAAAGCCACGGCUAACUACGUG